UGAAUGUCCACCUCACAACAAGAUGCUUCUUUUUGCCGGGCUGGUGUUAACUGUUGUCUUCUGCAUUUCCUCUGGAGAAGUCAAGUUACAAACCAUAGCAGAAGAAGGACAAGUCUCCAUGGAAUGUACAUUCAGCACAAGCAGCUCGAGCUAUAACACAUUCUACUGGUACCGUCAGUACCCUGGGUCAGCUCUUCAGUAUAUACUGCGCAGGGGGUGGCUCACUGGCACAUCCGAUUUUGCCAAAGAACGAUUUGAUGCAACUGCUGACACAUCCAGCGGCAAAACCAUUUUGACAAUUAAAAAAUUAAUUCCAGAAGACACUGCAUUUUAUUACUGUGCACUGCGGCACACAGUGAUAUAUUAAUGGCAACUCUCAUACAAAAACCUGCUAGGAUUCCACAGCUUUGAAGUUGUUUUUAAUCAGAACCAACAAGACGGUGAAGCCUCAACAGGAAAUGAGUCUCAAAGUGUUAUCUACAUAUUUGGUCCCAGUCCAAUGCACCUGUAAACUGUUUGGACUGAAUGUAAUACAUUUUGUGGUGCAAAAACAACGAUGAUAAGAUUAAUUUUUCUUCUCUGGGGUAUAAUUUCUGGUGCAUUUAUUUUCCACAGAGACUGACAUUGAUCCAACCCUAGACAAUAACUGUCAAGAUGUGGUAAUACUAUGAAAUAAAUUGUAUUCAACAAGUCACCAAUGAGGUGACUGAAUGCUACAUUCUACAUGUAAGUGUAAUUACUUGGGACAUUAUAGCAGUAAAUCUUCAGUGGAACAAUGACAUACACAUCGGUAUUGAACAAUUUAGCAGGAUGAGGCCCCUUUGUGGCUCCUUAUGUGAAGAGCUCAAAGCUCAUUUUCUAUCAGUAAGCUGAUGAAAGCAGGGUAGUGGGGUGUGUGUAAGGUCUGUACAUUAAGUUAACUUUUCCAUUUUCCAGGUGGGUGUAAGUUCUAUAACAUAAAAUGAACCUGUACCUACACGGGGUUAUUAAAUGGUUCAUAUGUUUUUGGUUAACAGGAUUGCAUGAAGAAAGAUGGGAGGAAUUGCUGCUUGCAGAAGACCAGUUUGGUCAAAGUACUUUACUGAAAAUCGGCAUAAGUACAACUGCAUACAGCAGUUGUUAUUUCUUCACUGUCUGUCUGUACAAAAUGUUUUUUUCAUACAUACCACUGUAUACUAACCAGACAGCAUACUUAUUGUGUUCUAUAAGUGACCAUUUCCAAUCAGAUAAUGAACUUGAUUUCAGGUAAUAGAUCUGUUUGUGCUGUAUCUGAUCUCUUUACCAGAAAACGAUCUUUCUUUUAAAACUGCAGAGGAGAAGCUACUGUAAGUAGUGAUUAGUGAGUGGGAGGAGUUUCCUGUUAAAACUGUAGAGGGAGUCAGAGUGGCAGACUUAUUCUGUUCUAGUUGUGCCUAAAGUCAGUGUUUCUUUCUAACAGCUAUCAUGGUACUGUACAGUUUAUUUCUUCUAUUUUCAACAAUGGUGGGUGACAGCCUUGGACAGGAUGCAAUUACUUCCACUUCUGAAGAAGAGCAUGUUUUGGUUGGCAGUGGAGUUACUCUAUCAUGCAACUACUCAGCUGUUAGUGUAAACAGUCUACAGUGGUAUCGCCAGC